rnacentral:SRP_RNA from 2 species
GCCAGGCGUGGUGGCGGGCGCCUGUAAUCCCAGCUGUUCAGGAGGCUGAGGCAGGAGAAUUGCUUGAGCCCAGGAGGUGGAGGUUGCAGUGAGCUGAGAUCACGCCACUGCACUCCAGCCUGGACGACAGAGCAAGACUCUGUCUCAA